rnacentral:lncRNA from 12 species
CACGCCUGUAAUGGAGUCCUGUUACCAUGGGAAUAACAGAGCUCCCUCUCAGAAUAGCAUUUAGUUCUGACAAUUGAAGAAGCUAGAGAAUUUCAAUUAAGCCAUAGUCUUAACACCUACCAGCACCUUCAGGUUCCCAAGUAUCGCCAGCCUGCGGGAGAAGAUGCUGACUUCUGGCCAUGUUUCAUGGUAGCACAUGUAUCCAACUUGCAAGUGAGAGAAAAAGGUUCCACCUUGGUAAGUCUGGAAGAAUACAGCCUCCCUGACUACUUCCCCAAAAUGUAGCUUUUUCUCUUAUACAUUCACAAAGUCUAUUGUAAUUCUGGCUGUUGCCUCAGUGAAAUUAAUAAGGAUCUGCUGUACCCUCAGGCAACAAACAAGAGUGGUCACGCUCUGUGUGGGGUGAAUUAUCUGCUACCAGUCGGGCAUCAUACAAUGCAUGCCCCUGCAGUGGCUGUGAAAAAAAUUCUCUAAUGAAACAAAGAAAGUGUUACAUUACAGAAAAGAAGAAGUUGCUAAGAUGGAGUUCCCAGCUAGGAUAUUGAUCUGACACAGUCUAGAAGUCCAAAGGUAGAAAACUUCCAGCACUUUCUUUUAGGAGAACUAAAACCACAUUUUGCCAGUGUCAGAGAUACUCUCUCCUAAUGCCAACAGAGGAGUCCUGAAGAGGCUCACAAGUAACCAGCUAAAACUCCUAAUACUCUCCUCUGCCCCAGGAUGAAGAGUCCCUGACAGGUGAUACAGAUAAGUGCUGUACAACCUGUCACUUUAUCUUCCUUAAGAGAGCAGCAUAAUCCAUGGAACUCACAAAAACUCUUCUGUGACUUCGAUCCUAUUCUGACAUUCCAGAGAAAAGUUGACAGCCAUAGAUUAAAGGAAAACAGUAUAGUGAAGAGAUACUUACAAUAGGUGGCUAUAACUAAAGAUGUGUUUUGGCAAGAAUUAGCUAGAAAGACAUAUUGGCAUGCUGGCAUGGGUCUGUAAGCUCAUGGAUUAAGCUAACAUCUUUGUCUUGGUCUCAUUGGGGCCCAUGUUUACUUACUAUCUUUGAUUUUCUUUAUUUACUCAUUCAAUAGAUUUUCCUUGAACACUGUGGUGGAAAUAGAUGGUAGUGUCCCCAAAUCUACUCUCCUCUCCUUUCUAAGCAAGUAGCUAUCCAGCAAGAACCAAAAUUGUCCAGCCCACCUUGCAGAGAGAUGUAGUGACCUAUUUGCACUGAUGGAAAGUAAAUGGAAGUGAUAGGGGCAACUUUGGCAUUACUUGCUUUAAAGAAAAUCCUUGACCUGGAAGUCUGCUUUCUGCUGCCUACUUACUGAAAAUGGCAGUCAAGACUACCUACCAUGGACUGUAAUGUGAGAAGAAAAUAAACAUCUGUGUUUUGAAUCUUUUUGUUACA